UGUAAAAAGAUCCUAGUUUGACAUUUUAUUUUGACAUUCAAAGAAAAUAAUAGGAAUGAAGAAAGCUGAUGUUCAGCUUCUCCAAACCAACACACAACCGACCACCACCUCCCCCUACUUCCCUCCUUGUUCCCUACUCCAACCUCUCCUAUGGUGAACCACUAUUCAUCUUCUACCACCUUCAUUUCUUGUCACUAAAAUCUGUCUAUAAAUUCAUAGAAAAACUAAGCUUUGAAAAUCAGGAAACUAAACCCACAAAAAUUCACAAAUUCUUCUCCUCCCUCUCUCUCCUCUGUUCGGGUCCCACACCAACACCACCAGGUCUGCCGCCAGCUCGUGCGACGCAAGACAGUCGCCGGCCACCUGCCCGAUACUCGCCGACCAACUGCAGAUCGUCGGAGCUCCGCCUGCAACUCGCGUUCUCCCUCCUUCCCCGCGCCCUUCUCGCUCGCUCCUCUUCUUUGCGCGUUGUUGUACCGCGCGCACCACCUACGACACGCGCCACACCACCGCCGACCCCCCUGUUGCGUUGUGCUGCUCGCCGGAGGCCCUGCCGCCUCUGUUUCGUCCCUGCUCCAAGUGAGUAGAGUGCUACAAUGGUUUCAGGUUGAAGUUAUGGAGCACCCCUUCCAAGGUAGAAGCAGUUACAUGCUAAGAGUUCAACUAUGUUGAUUUUAUGUUUCUUUUGAGGCGAGGACGUUCCACUUUGUAUUAGAUAAUAAUAAAUGAGUUAGUUUUAUUUCUAGUGCUGAAUGAGCAAUAUUGCUCCUGUUUCACUUUAGUUGUACUCCGCAGAAGCGUUGAGUUAAGGAUUUGGGAAUGUUUUAUUUGUAA